rnacentral:lncRNA from 1 species
GAUGCUCUGUGCUGAAGUUGGUGCCUGCCCCUUCCCUGUUCCAGAGGCUCUUUAAAGUGAAGCCCUGGGUGUGUACGUGGGUGCUCCUCUGAGGCGGCUGGGAACCACCGGCAGGGUCUUCUCUAGAUGGGACAGCAGCGGGAGAUGGAGCCCCGAGCCUGGGCAGCUUUUGCAGGGAAGGAGAGCCCUUCAACAUCGCCAGUGGCUCGGGACGGCCUGGGCUUGGCCGCCAAGCAUCCGUGUUUCUGGCCAGCGUUCAGACCAAAGACGCAUCACCAGGGUGCACUUGGGUGCUGUAUCUGGGAAGUGGGACCUCUAGGGAAAAGGAGUCACUCGGACUCACUCCCCUCCCUCGAGCUCUUGCCAUAAGGCUCACUUUUGUGGUCACGACACUUCCCAACCACCCACAGGUGCCGGCGUGUCCUAGGGUGAGUCCUGCCUCAUGCUCUUGCCUGGUGAGAAAGCCGCGUGUGGCCUUGCUGGCAGGGGACAUCGCUGAUGUAUUAAACUGGCCCUCCUUCCAGAACUUCCCAGGCAGCUGCGGGCCACAGGCAGAGCGUGCCUCUUGCCCGCACAGUGGCCACCAGCGCUGCCCAGUUGAAUCACGGGGCAGCACAGCCAGAAAACAACUGUACACAGAAAGUACCCCUCUUAAGGCGAUGCCCCAUCAGGAAGGGACCAUGAGACCCAGAGGCUGGUGUCCCAGCAUGGAAAGAUGCUCUACAGGCCUGGGGGAAGGCAGGUGACCAGAAGCAGAGGUCCCAAGGUUUUUGCCCACCAUUGGAGGAGCAUCACACCCACCUCACGAGAUUCUUCUCAACUCUAGGACAGAAUCUUCCACAGUGGAGGGGUGAAGACUGUCUGCAGCCUAUCUGGGGUGCCCUCGUGCCGCCGUAGUGCUCACAUGCCUUCUGCCUGCAGGUUAGGCUCCCUGCCCCCUGACCCCUCCCCCUGGGGUCUGCUCUGUCCCCUUCCCCAUCAAAGGCUCUAUAGCUGGCAUGGGCUCUAACCCUGACCAAACGUGAAAACCCAGCCCAGAGUGUGUCAUGCCUCCUGGAGUCUGGUCCCAGCCCCGAAUGGAGACAAAGUCUGGAGCAAAGUGAAACAGGAGGCAGGUCUGGGGAGCUAGAGGAGGUAGGCUCCGUUUGCAGAAACCACACUUUGCAAAUGCCUCUCCCUGGUGGCUGUGCACACCUUGGGACCAUCGAUAUGUUUGUACAUGCCUGUCCCAGGGCUUCCUAGCUGGGCCCAUGGAGGGUGUUCAGGGUGUCCACAAAGGUGGAUGGGGAAACAAAAUGUAUCUUUAAGGCAGCCCCAGUGGCGCAGCGGUUUAGCACCGCCUGCAGCCCAGGGUGUGAUCCUGGAGGCCCUGGAUAGAGUCCCACGUCGGGCUCUCUGUAUGAUGCCUGCUUCUCCCUCUGCCUGUGUCUCUGCCUCUCUCUCUCUCUCUGUCUCUAUGAAUAAAUAAAGAUAAAAUCUUAAAAAAAUAAAAAACAAAAUGCGUCUUUAUUUUCAGUCACCUUGAGCCAAGAUUUAGCAGUUCUUCCAUCUAUGAAUGUAGACCACUUUUAGGGGUUCUUUAGGGCUCACCAAGCUACUUAAGGGGUUCAUGCUCCACCCCCACCCCCAAGGGGUUAAGGACUGCUUUGUCCUAUAGCACUUGCAAGGAACCAGGAGGCUGGGAAAGGAAGGAUCCUUCCAAGAGCCUGGGUUGGGAGGUCAGUUGUGUGCGUGCUCUCACAGUGAUGGUCAGUAGGAUAGCAAACUCCAGGGAGGGGGGUCCUGCAUGCCAGGGGGGACAGUGUUCCAGGUUGGAGAACCCCCCCUCCUCCUACACUCCCCACUUAGACCAUGGGGCCAAGGAGAGGUGACGGGAAAGGGAGCAGGUGUGAUGGCUCAUCUGUAGUGAGUUUGGCUGGCAGCAGCAAUCUUCCAGGCACAGGAGCAGGAACCCCUCAGGACCCCCAGAGGCAGCACAGAGCUUCCCUCUGAGACUCUCAGCUGGGGCUCAGCAGCCAGGAGGAAAGUGGGGGUAAAGCAACAGGUGAGCAGCGAAGAGACGUGGCCCAUUCCAUGGCCGGUUCUCCUGGACAGCCCCAGAGGGUCACAGCCAGAUCCCAGUGCGCUCCUGCCCCAGCAGGGUCU